rnacentral:tRNA from 1 species
GGGGUCGUAGCGAAGCCAGGCAUCGCAACGGGCUCCAGACCCGUGGAUCAGGGGUUCAAAUGUGCGGUAUACCG